GAUGAAGAACGCAGCGAAAUGCGAUAAGUAGUGUGAAUUGCAGAAUUCAGUGAAUCAUCGAAUCUUUGAACGCACAUUGCGCCCCCUGGUAUUCCGGGGGGCAUGCCUGUCCGAGCGUCAUUGCCGCCCUCAAGCACGGCUUGUGUGUUGGGCCCCCGCCCCCCGGCUUCGGGGGGCGGGCCCGAAAGGCAGCGGCGGCACCGCGUCCGGUCCUCGAGCGUAUGGGGCUUCGUCACCCGCUCUGUAGGCCCGGCCGGCGCCCGCCGGCGACCCCAAUCAAUCUUUCCAGGUUGACCUCGGAUCAGGUAGGGAUACCCGCUGAACUUAAGCAUAUCAAUAAGCGGAGGA
rnacentral:misc_RNA from 1 species